CUUUGUAUUCUUCCACAGCUUUCUUGAACUGCAUCCAUGUCGAUUUUCUCCAAGAUCAGAUUUUCUUGGAUGUGAACGGCAAACUGUUUUGCGGUUCAAUAAAGCUGUGGGAAGAUACAGAAA
rnacentral:pre_miRNA from 1 species